UACGGAAGGCAGCAGUGGGGAAUAUUGCACAAUGGGCGCAAGCCUGAUGCAGCCAUGCCGCGUGUAUGAAAAAGGCCUUCGGGUUGUAAAGUACUUUCAGUCGUGAGGAAGGUGUUAAGGUUAAUAACCUUAGCAAUUGACGUUAGCGACAGAAGAAGCACCGGCUAACUCCGUGCCAGCAGCCGCGGUAAUACGGAGGGUGCAAGCGUUAAUCGGAAUUACUGGGCGUAAAGCGUGCGCAGGCGGUUUUUGUAAGACAGAGGUGAAAUCCCCGGGCUCAACCUGGGAACUGCCUUUUGUGACUGCAAGGCUGGAGUGCGGCAGAGGGGGAUGGAAUUCCGCGUGUAGCAGUGAAAUGCGUAGAUAUGCGGAGGAACACCGAUGGCGAAGGGCAAUCCCCUGGGGCCUGCACUGACGCUCAUGC
rnacentral:rRNA from 1 species